rnacentral:rRNA from 1 species
UACGAAGGGGGCUAGCGUUGCUCGGAAUCACUGGGCGUAAAGCGCACGUAGGCGGAUCUUUAAGUCAGGGGUGAAAUCCUGGAGCUCAACUCCAGAACUGCCUUUGAUACUGGGGAUCUCGAGUCCGGAAGAGGUGAGUGGAACUCCGAGUGUAGAGGUGAAAUUCGUAGAUAUUAGGAAGAACACCGGUGGCGAAGGCGGCCCACUGGCUCGAUACUGACGCUGAGGUGCGAAAGCGUGGGGAGCAAACAGGG